rnacentral:rRNA from 1 species
UACGUAGGGACCGAGCGUUGUCCGGAAUCAUUGGGCGUAAAGAGCGUGUAGGCGGUCCGGUAAGUCGGCUGUGAAAGUCCAGGGCUCAACCCUGGGAUGCCGGUCGAUACUGCCGGACUAGAGUUCGGAAGAGGCGAGUGGAAUUCCCGGUGUGAGCGGUGAAAUGCGCAGAUAUCGGGGAGGAACACCUAUGGCGAAGGCAGCUCGCUGGGACGUUACUGACGCUGAGACGCGAAAGCGUGGGGAGCAAACAGG